AUGUGUAACCUCACGUCCCUAGAAGUGCUAGACGGACUGCUGGUAGGCCAGUUAUCUUCAGGCAAUUUUAAUCAAGACACUGCAAAAGAGUUGGGCCAACUGACCAAGUUGAGUGUGCUCCGGUUUAAAUGGAGAUGUAUCAAUGACACCACUGAUAAAACUUUGGUUGAGUCCCUAAGUAACCUGCACAGAAUACAAAAUCUAGAUAUUUGUGCAGAUGGCGGUCGACAUGUCGAUCUCAUGCGUGAAGGCUGGGUUCCUCCCCCACAGCUCCAUAGAUUGCAGUUUCAGGGAACCACCUGCUCAUUCCAGACUCUGCCAACAUGGAUUAAUCCUUCAACGCUUCCUUUACUUUCUUACCUGGAAAUAUGGGUGGAGGAAGUGCGACCGGAUGACAUUCUGCUCCUCGGGCUGUUGCCCGCUCUGCGCUCUCUCUCCCUGGUGCGCAGUACUACAUUCUCAGGGGGGGCUGCAGUGGAAAUGUCAGUCGUCGCCGCUGAUGCAUUCCCAUGCGCGACGGAGUGCCGCUUCAUCGGUGUCGCCGCAGUGCCAUCUAUAUUUCCACAAGGAGCUAUGCCAAGGGUUAAACUCCUCCGCUUUGGCUUCCCCGCCGUGUGGAUUUCCCGUGGCGACUUUGAUUUCGGCAUG
rnacentral:rRNA from 1 species